rnacentral:rRNA from 1 species
GGCCAGACUCCUACGGGAGGCAGCAGUGGGGGAUAUUGCACAAUGGGGGAAACCCUGAUGCAGCGACGCCGCGUGGGUGAAGAAGCGCCUCGGCGCGUAAAGCCCUUUCAGCAGGGAAGAAAAUGACGGUACCUGAAGAAGAAGCCCCGGCUAACUACGUGCCAGCAGCCGCGGUAAUACGUAGGGGGCAAGCGUUAUCCGGAUUUACUGGGUGUAAAGGGGGCGCAGACGGCGAUGCAAGCCAGGAGUGAAAGCCCGGGGCCCAACCCCGGGACUGCUCUGGAAACUGCGUCGCUGGAGUACGGGAGGGGCAGGCGGAAUUCCUGGUGUAGCGGUGAAAUGCGUAGAUAUCAGGAGGAACACCGGCGGUGAAGGCGGCCUGCUGGACCGUGACUGACGUUGAGGCUCGAGAGCGUGGGGAGCAAACAGGAUUAGAUACCCCCGUA